CGUUUCCCCCCAAAUAAAUUUGCAAACAAAUGUCAGGGAACACAUUAAUAGCAUAUGCUAUCUUUAGUCAGUUCUACCAUUGUUUCAAUGUACACUCGGUGCUUUUCAAGUCUUAGAAAAGACCCAAUCUUGUUGAAUUGACCCAUCCCUUUCUCCGGAAUACAUUAAGAAUUAGUGGUAAACGUGGAGUAAAAUUUGGCAGGCUUCUGGUUAAAAUGAUUCUAGUUUUACCUGUGUUUGGAUUAGAUUGGCCAUCUAUGUUUUGACUACAGAUCCAUCCAAACGUUGAAAAAUUAUACUGUACUAAGGAAGGCAUAACGUAGGUCACUCAGUUCAGAAAUGCACCCCAGAAAUAUACACAUGCAUUUUAUUAGAGAAUGGUGACACAUUAAUCAAGAGAACUCCGAGAUAUGUAUUUGUUGUCUAUGACCCUUUUAAUAAGACUGGACUAAACUCAGAAAUUCGAAUGACGAUAGUAGUAUACCAUGAUUCACUUAGACUGAUUACAUGGUUUCUAGAACACUGAGCUUAACAUCUUUGCGGCAUAUUGGGCAGUUCUGAUUCUCCUGAAGCCACCUAGAAAUACAAUCUUUGUGGAAAGGAUGAUUGCACCCUAUAAGAUGAAUCGAACGAAUUACAUAACGUUGACUUGGCUUCAUGUAAUCAAGACAAAUCGCACACUUCUCAUCAGACGGUGUGGUCCUGAUAUCACAUGCCUCCAGGAUGGUACGCCUGGAUAUGAGGAGCUCAUGGUCGACCUUGAUAGCAAAACUGAAGAACAAGUCUUGGGGACCUCCGCUCGCUAGAGUGGUGGUCUCCUCUACGACAUCUUCUGUGUGCUGAUAUUAAGUACCUCAAAGGUGGAUACGAGAUACCCGGAGUUGUCCACGAUUAAGCUCUUCGUGUUGUCAUGCUGAAGAUACCUGGUUUUGGAGUCGACGUCACACUCGACACGCACGAAGAAGCCAACUGGACGUUCGCCACUCACCGCUUCAUCUCCGCUUGGCCUCACGUCCUUGCGGAACCAUAAGAUCUUCCUCCUCAAUUUGGUGCUACUGAUCAGAGUAGUCCACUCUGGUUCGUGGCCGUCGCGGUAAGCCAUUUCUGAUUAUAAGCGCAGAGAGAUGAUCCGGACUGGGAGAGGUGGGAGAGAUAGAUGGAGUGUAUGAUUGCGAUGACCGAUCGGAAAUUUAUAUGGAAUGCGAGUGUGAUUUCCGAGGCUAUAAAAUUAAGAGGACAUUCUUUAUUUGGUGCUGAAUUAAAUCGUGCUUCCGAGUUGGCCCUGAAAAUAUUUUCUUCCCUAUUUAGCUCCGCGUUUAAAUUUCGUUCCAAAAAUCAUAAUCGUUCCAUUUUUACCACUAAUGGUUAAAUGACACCUGAAAAGACGCUUUUGCCCCUUAGUGCACAACAUUGGCGCUCCAGUCGGUCGCUCACCCUCGAGCGUGCGCUCCACCGAAUCUCUCUCUCUAGUCGGCGAUGUCCCACUGCUCUACUGCUGCCGACCGCGAUCACUGCCACUGCUGUACUGCUGCCCAACACCUUUUCCAGGGAAGCCAAGCUCAAGCACUUCGUUGGCCAUAGAAAAUCCACAACUGUGUUGAGCCUGGAGAGACAAUAAACUAGUGGGAACGACCCCGUUGUUGCCGGAUCCUGUGCCGUUGGAGCUUCAGCGAGCCGGAUUCAUGGCUAGCAAUGCUGAAAUCUGCGAGAGCGAGGCCUCCAUGGACGAUGGUACGAUGUAUUUUUUUCGUGGAUUUUCGAUUCUGCAUAUGUGCAUUCAACAUGCUACAAAUUUAUAUGCAUUUGGCUGCGAGCACGGCGAGAUUUUGCAUGGAUUAAGGAUGUUUGUUACAAGUUAAAAUUUUCGCGGAAUUUUGAUGUUGCAUAUGUGUGUUCAAAAUGUUGUGCAUGCAAAAGCAAGAUGCUGUGGCAAUUUUUGGGCUUUGUUACAAAUGUUGCUUCAGUGUUGCAAAUGUUUUCACGAGGUGCUGCAAAUAUUGGCCUCCAAUGUUUGAUAAGUUUUUGACUUUUUCUUAACUAGUUUGCUGGGACCGACGUUUUUUGUUGUGACCAGUGAAGAUUUUCUGCAUACUCACAUAAUUUUCUGCAUUGGUGUUUUGGAAAUGCUGCAACUUUGUUUCCAUGGUUUUAACACGUUUCUAGAACCGUCAGAUCAAGCCAAUAAGCGAGACCUUGGCUGUUCGUCCAUGGCAGAAUGUCCCCACCCGUAUAGCAAUAUUUUUUGUACUAUCCCAACAUUACUGUAUGCUUGACAAUGACGAUUGCGUACACAGGGCAUCCCAUACAUAUACCUGACAGUGGAAAUUACUGUAUGCUUGCCAAUAAGCUAAUAAGCAAAAUACUAACAUGUAACAGAGUUAGACCAGAUGCAUUCUUUUUCGAAAAUGCAUUGCUAUUUUUAUCGGCAAAAGGACUAGAGAUGUGUUAUUCUAUUUCUAAUCACCGGUUACAACUGGAUAGUCAUAGUUUUUGUUCCAUAGUUACACAACCUUGCAAUUCCACCUUUGUGUAACAUCGUUUUAAGAAUUAGGUGGCACCUGAGGAAAAGUCUUAUGCAAUUCGUUAGUUAGGAUAGAAACACCAUUGUGAAAAGGAAAAAUGUGCAAUGAACAGUUUUAAUAGAUGUAUUGCAGAGGCUCCAUUCAUUUCAUUUCUAUUAACUAUUAUUACUCAGGUGCAGAAUCUUUCUUGCAUGGCCAAUAGUGUUGACGGUCUGAAGAAUUCUUCACAAACUUACUUGCAGCCAACAUAUGUGACACUGAUUCGAACUCUAGCAAGUAGCAAUAGCUAACUCGAAAAGGAAACUUAGGAAUAAAUGGAAAUUGUAAUUCUUACCUUCUGAAGAAGUUUUGAGGAAGUUGAGACAUCUGUUCAAUCAUCUUACUGCUAAUUUGUCAAAACAAAACAUGGAUGUUCUGCAUAAUUAAAACAUGCAUGCUCUUUCCCUACCUUCAUACUUACGUAGCACACAUAAAAAUAAAUUAAAACAGAGGAAAAUAGCAUAUCAGGAUGUCAUUGGCUCUGCACAUUGAUCUGCAUCGGUGGAGAAGAAGCAAAACAUGGAGACCUGUUGUGGAAUUGGACACUGCUGAUGCCGUGCUAAUGUAUAGCAAUAGGUUUCUUUCCGCACCGGAGUAGAUGAACAUAUGUAUUUCUCUGAGUUAGUAUGUGCAGGGCACUCAUGAUGAUUCGGUGUAUCCACCACUAUUGGCGCAUCUCCAACACGAGCGUCCAUGUGCAAGGAUGGCAAGAGCUUUGGUAUGCCUAAAUGAGGAGGGGGCGGCAUCGUUUGCAGGAUGGAUGUGGCACGGGCAACAGUGACGUUUAUGGGAGGGACCAGGAACGACUAGGGGAAAUAGACAUAGUACAUAAGCUGGGUCAGAGAUAAAAGGGAAGGAGAUGACUCCGAGAUUGGGGAAGAUGGAGGGGACGGAGAAGGAACGGAACAUGCGAGAGUUCUGAUUGCCGGAGGGUCAUGUGAUGGCUGAAACUAAUCUUGGUGAAGGUUUGCUUAGUGUGUUUAACCGCAAAGAUAAUAUGAGGAGAUGAAGGGUACCGUGUAGCAGUGAACAUGCUCUGUAGAAACUAUAUAAUACUCCAAUCCUUCAUUGAAACUAUAUACAAUUUUCAGUUAGGGCAGUGGAAUCAAA